GACGAACGCUGGCGGCGUGCUUAACACAUGCAGGUCGAGCGGUAAGGCCCUUUCGGGGGUACACGAGCGGCGAACGGGUGAGUAACACGUGGGUGACCUGCCCUCAGCUCUGGGAUAAGCCUGGGAAACCGGGUCUAAUACCGGAUAUGACUCCAUGACGCAUGUUGUGGGGUGGAAAGCCUUGUGCGGCUGAGGAUGGGCCCGCGGCCUAUCAGCUUGUUGGUGGGGUGAGGCCUACCAAGGCGACGACGGGUAGCCGGCCUGAGAGGGCGACCGGCCACACUGGGACUGAGACACGGCCCAGACUCCUACGGGAGGCAGCAGUGGGGAAUCUUGCGCAAUGGGCGAAAGCCUGACGCAGCGACGCCGCGUGAGGGAUGACGGCCUGGUU
rnacentral:rRNA from 1 species